CUGACACAGGGAGGUAGUGACAAGAAAUAACAAUACAGGGCAUCCAUGUCUUGUAAUUGGAAUGAGUAGAAUUUAAAUCCCCUUAUGAGUAUCGAUUGGAGGGCAAGUCUGGUGCCAGCAGCCGCGGUAAUUCCAGCUCCAAUAGCGUAUAUUAAAAUUGUUGCGGUUAAAAAGCUCGUAGUUGGAUUUCUGCUGAGGACGAUCGGUCCGCCCUCUGGGUGAGUAUCUGGUUCGGCCUUGGCAUCUUCUUGGAGAACGUUACUGCACUUGACUGUGUGGUGCGGUAUCCAGGACAUUUACUUUGAGGAAAUUAGAAUGUUUCAAGCAGGCGCACGCCUUGAAUACAUUAGCAUGGAAUAAUAAGAUAGGACCUUGCUUCUAUUUUGUUGGUUUCUAGAGCUGAGGUAAUGAUUAAUAGGGAUAGUUGGGGGCAUUCGUAUUUAACUGUCAAAGGUGAAAUUCUUGGAUUUGUUAAAGACGGACUACUGCGAAAGCA
rnacentral:rRNA from 1 species